AUUGAACGCUGGCGGCAGGCCUAACACAUGCAAGUCGAGCGGAUGAAGGGAGCUUGCUCCUGGAUUCAGCGGCGGACGGGUGAGUAAUGCCUAGGAAUCUGCCUGGUAGUGGGGGAUAACGUCCGGAAACGGGCGCUAAUACCGCAUACGUCCUGAGGGAGAAAGUGGGGGAUCUUCGGACCUCACGCUAUCAGAUGAGCCUAGGUCGGAUUAGCUAGUUGGUGGGGUAAAGGCCUACCAAGGCGACGAUCCGUAACUGGUCUGAGAGGAUGAUCAGUCACACUGGAACUGAGACACGGUCCAGACUCCUACGGGAGGGAGCAGUGGGGAAUAUUGGAGAAUGGGCGAAAGCCUGAUCCAGCCAUGCCGCGUGUGUGAAGAAGGUCUUCGGAUUGUAAAGCACUUUAAGUUGGGAGGAAGGGCAGUAAGUUAAUACCUUGCUGUUUUGACGUUACCAACAGAAUAAGCACCGGCUAACUUCGUG
rnacentral:rRNA from 1 species